ACUUGUCAUCUUUUCACUUGCAGUGACUUCCUAAUCCAUUUUAGCCAAAUGAGUUAAGUUAGCAAAGACCUGUUGCUUAGACUAACAUGUUUGAUUUUCCUUAAACAUUUUAUAGGGCUUUCAAAAAUGCAAUGCAGGUGAAAGUGGAGAUUUUCCAAAGGGAAACAAGGAUUCAGCUGCCUCAGGGAGGUCGUGUGCUAAUGUAACUGCUGACUAUGGAGAGAGAAGGCAUCUAAGUGAUUGUGGAUACCCAUUAGAUUCCUAUAAAAAUAGAGAAGAGGAAAGGAGACAAUAGAGUUAUGGGAUUUAUCAUGUCUGCUGGAGUCACCAAAUUGGAUGAGGUUUUGCUGAAAGCUCUUUGAGUUCAAAACUUUUAUUAGAACUAUCGUUGUCUGUUUCUGCAAGGAUGUGACACCUCCUAAUCUCACCAUUGUCAAGCAGGGUAAGUUUCUGCAAUAGUCUCUUUUUCCUCAAUCAAGGCAUCAUAGUAUUUCAACUUACUAUUCAUUUCAUCUUAAACUGAGUCUUUUUGUUCUUCAGACGUUGCAUACUGAGUGUGACAGUACACUUCAGCGUGUCCCAACUUACACACUUAUCAACACUUCCAUUUUAAAGGUACCUCUGCUGAAGUCACAGCUUACUGCUAACUCAAUCCUCACUAGUAAAUAGAGUUUUGAAAGAAAGCUCUGCCCAGUAGCCACCUCUCAUCUGCAGGUGUUUUUUCUUUCCUUUGGAAAAAAUUACCUUUUCUACAGUUGCUCUCUCUCUUUUGAAAAAUGGUUCCAUGCAGCCAAAUGAGGAGAGAAAAAUCACAAAACACUGAAGAGAGAGGAUAAGGCAGAAAAAGAGAAGCUGUGGAAACUUUCUCGAAGCAAGUCUGGGAACUUAAGAAAGUGUGUGAAAUGGGUAAACAGCUGAACAAAAACAGGUGGGGGAGGUGGUUCUUUUUUGUUAGUUUUUUGAGGGGGUUGUUGGUGGUUGGGGUUUUGUGGGGUUUUUUUUUGUUUUUUUUUUUUUUUUUUGUUUUUUGUUUUUUUUCCCCCCCCCUACAUCUGCUUUACCCCAUGAAUCUUGCAGAGGGCACACUGCAGGGAGACACGGAAAACUGUUCCUGCUCUCUGCCUGGCCUUCCAGGGACCUAGAUUGUGACUUCCUAGAGCUCAAAUUUGACAUGGGUGAGGUAAUUUUAGGUGUAGAUACUCAACAACUCAGUGCAUGUUUAGGUGUUCUGCCAUGAGCUGAGAUGUUCAUACCGGUGCAACCAUUGUCACUCAGCCUCACAGACCAGACAUUCAACCUGCCAGUUCCUUUAUGCACUUGUGAAGUUGCACUAACAAUUACACCUUCCCACAUCCAGCAGUGCAAACACUUGCACCCACUCUCGACUUGCUCCUCAACACUAGCAGUACACAAGUGGGAGAUCUGGCACUCAAACACUCACUGUAUAAUCCCCACACACAAUAGCACAUGUUUGCACAGGUGUGGACUCAGCCAAAUCUGUAGCCAUAUGCACAUGAAGGAACAGUUUUAUACACAAACAGCUUCAAAGGCCAAGAAAAGGCUGGGAUUCAAACACAGUCUAUACUACUUCAGCACUAACAUAAUUGCAUUUACUUACAUAAACUUAACUGACGGCAUAGCCUGGGAAUGGAAAGACAUAAAACAAUUGCAAAAUAUUUUAAAAGGUCUUAUAAUGCAUGCUGGCUAGAAACACUAAUGUGCAUUUUGUAUUACAAAGCUUUCUGAAUUUUUUCAUCUCUCUAUACACUUUGGGACUAAAUAAACUCAUGAGUCCAUUAUAUGUACUUAUAACAGCCCACUUAACACAGUGAAAAAAAUCACUCUAAAGCUGAGACAAGUCAAGACAACUCUUACAGAUUUACCUGGUAUAGACUUUAUAAACUCUAGUUACUGUGUAUGUUUUCUUCACUCUACCUGCUAACAAGCAACAUUGUUUAGAAUAAUAAUAUUUUUGGUCUAUAGAUAAGCCUUUCUGAAAGUAAAUAAAGUGUUUUUAGGGCUGCAUAUGAGACCCAAGUAGAAGUUAGUUUUGAAAAAGUAGUGCAGUUCCAGUCACACGUCUGCUUUGUUGUACAACCCAGACCUACCAAACCCAAACUCUACAUCUAAAUAGCCUGACAUUUCUGUAGCAAAUAGAGUGAAGAUCCAGAUGACAAUGGAAUGCAGACCUUGAUAUCAUAACAUCAGUUCUCUUUUAUCUCUACUUCAAAAAAGUUCCCCUGCAUUUUUGUAACGAGUCAGCAGGUUCUAGCCUAUGUGGAAGGUGAACUUCUGCCAAAAAACAGCAACAACAACAACAACAACAACAA